AUUGAACGCUGGCGGCAGGCCUAACACAUGCAAGUCGAACGAGUGGCGGACGGGUGAGUAAUGUCUGGGAAACUGCCUGAUGGAGGGGGAUAACUACUGGAAACGGUAGCUAAUACCGCAUACCAUCAGAUGUGCCCAGAUGGGAUUAGCUAGUGGGUGGGGUAAAGGCUCACCAAGGCGACGAUCCCUAGCUGGUCUGGGAGGGUGACGGUCCAAACUGGAACGGAGACACGGUCCAGACUCCUACGGGAGGCAGCGGAGGGAAAUAUUGCACAAUGGGCGAAAGCCUGAUGCAGACAUGCCGCGUGUAUGAAGAGGGCCUUCGGGUGGUAAAGUACGUUCAGCGGGGAGGCGUUACCCGCAGAGGAAGCACCGGCUAACUACGUGCCAGCAGCCGCGGUAAUAC
rnacentral:rRNA from 1 species